GUACGGAGGAUGCAAGCGUUAUCCGGAUUCAUUGGGUUUAAAGGGUGCGCAGGUGGGCUUGUAAGUCAGUGGUGAAAUACUGCCGCUUAACGGUAGAAUUGCCAUUGAUACUGUGAGUCUUGAGUAUGGUUGAGGUAGGUGGAAUGUGCAGUGUAGCGGUGAAAUGCAUAGAUAUUGCACAGAACUCCGAUUGCGAAGGCAGCUUACUAAGCCAUUACUGACGCUGAGGCACGAAAGCGUGGGUAGCGAACAGGAUUAGAUACCCUGGUAGUCCACGCCGUAAACGAUGUUCACUCGCUGUUUGCGAUACACAGCAAGCGGCUGAGCGAAAGCAUUAAGUGAACCACCUGGGGAGUACGAUCGCAAGGUUGAA
rnacentral:rRNA from 1 species